UACAGAGGUGGCAAGCGUUGUUCGGAAUUACUGGGCGUAAAGGGCGCGUAGGCGGCUUGGUCAGUCCCGUGUGAAAUCCCUCGGCUCAACUGAGGAACUGCACAGGAGACUGCUUGGCUUGAGUUCGGGAGAGGGAAGCGGAAUUCCGGGUGUAGCGGUGAAAUGCGUAGAUAUCCGGAGGAACACCGGUGGCGAAGGCGGCUUCCUGGACCGACACUGACGCUGAGGCGCGAAAGCCAGGGGAGCAAACGGG
rnacentral:rRNA from 1 species